rnacentral:lncRNA from 1 species
AAAACCCUACAACCAGCUCCAACAAAAUAACAUAUAUAAUAUAAAAGUUUUAGCUCUAAUGAAGAAAUAAAAUUAGUUAAUUAGUUCAUGUUUAACAGGCAGUGUAUGGUGCCGAUAAAAAAAAAAAGAAAAAAAAAGGCAUGGUAUGGUACUGAUUGCAUUAUAUGACAAAAGCUGGGGGGCGGAGACUGAUACAUGGAACGGUCUCAUACCACCCUCACCAAGCCACUUCGGCUCUUAAUUGAGUUUUCACCAACUUCCUUCCCUUUUC